rnacentral:rRNA from 1 species
UGGGGAAUAUUGGACAAUGGGGGGAACCCUGAUCCAGCCAUGCCGCGUGUGUGAAGAAGGCCUUAUGGUUGUAAAGCACUUUAAGCGAGGAGGAGGCUCUUUUGGUUAAUACCCAAGAAGAGUGGACGUUACUCGCAGAAUAAGCACCGGCUAACUCUGUGCCAGCAGCCGCGGUAAUACAGAGGGUGCGAGCGUUAAUCGGAUUUACUGGGCGUAAAGCGUGCGUAGGCGGCUUUUUAAGUCGGAUGUGAAAUCCCCGAGCUUAACUUGAGAAUUGCAUUCGAUACUGGGAAGCUAGAGUAUGGGAGAGGAUGGUAGAAUUCCAGGUGUAGCGGUGAAAUGCGUAGAGAUCUGGAGGAAUACCGAUGGCGAAGGCAGCCAUCUGGCCUAAUACUGACGCUGAGGUACGAAAGCAUGGGGAGCAAACAGG